AUUGAACGCUGGCGGCAUGCUUUACACAUGCAAGUCGAACGGCAGCGCGGGCUUCGGCCUGGCGGCGAGUGGCGAACGGGUGAGUAAUACAUCGGAACGUGCCCAGUAGUGGGGGAUAGCUCGGCGAAAGCCGGAUUAAUACCGCAUCCGACCUGAGGGUGAAAGCGGGGGAUCUUCGGACCUCGCGCUAUUGGCGCGGCCGAUGGCAGAUUAGCUAGUUGGUGGGGUAAAGGCCUACCAAGGCGACGAUCGGUAGCUGGUCUGAGAGGACGACCAGCCACACUAGGACUGAGACACGGCCCAGAGUCCUACGGGAGGCAGCAGUGGGGAAGUUUGGACAAUGGGCGAAAGCCUGAUCCAGCAAUGCCGCGUGUGUGAUGAAGGCCUUCGGGUUGGAAAGCACUUUUGGCGGGAACGAAAAGGACUGUGCCAAUACCACGGUUCGAUGACGGUACCCGCAGAAUAAGCACCGGCUAACUACGUG
rnacentral:rRNA from 1 species